UGAGAAAAGAAUUAAUUAAUUAUAUUUUUGUGUUUGACAAGGCCUUCAAAAACAUUUUUAAAAUGAAUUUUAAAAGGGAAAUAAAAGAGAAAAUCCAUAAAGCCCUUCAAAACACCAAAUAAAUGGUCAAACAAAUUAUGAAAGGUUGGAAAUAAAAUGAGACAUAAAAUAAAUUUUUUCAGAAAUUUAAAAUGCAUAAAAGUAUUUUUAAACCAAUUAAAA
rnacentral:lncRNA from 1 species